GGAAAUGAAAAACAGUUACGUUGAAUUCUUUCUGUGCAAAUAAAAUCUCUAAAAUGUUUUCUUUUCAUUUUUAUGUGAAAUGAGAGUGGAAAGUUGUGAAAUUUAAUAAAAUUGUGAAUUUUGCUUAUAAGUGAGUGUGAGUUUUAAAUGAGAGUGUGAAAAGUGUUGUGUUCUUCAAUUUCGGUUGGAUUUUUGGUAUUCCUGCACGGCCGCCAUUGCGAGCCUCCAAAAUGCAAUAUAAUCUCAUAAGACUAUAAGGCUUGCAUAAGCGAUUUUCUACUAUCGAUGAAUAACAAUUAUUCAGCAUAUCAGUAGCAUAUAUGUAUGUAGAUCGGCGCAACAACUACAAACAAACGUUGAAUAGAGAAGGUGAAUUGCUGGAUUUUUUGCUAGACACAUAAAUGCUGAGAAAUCAAGAAAAUAUGCGUGUAUUUGUUGGUGUGUCUGUAAUCAAGUAUCCGCAUUCACAAUACCACAUUCUUGCCACUUAAGCGCGAUCAGCUAGCUGGCAGCAGUAACCUCCGUUGCUAUAUGCAGUGAAAUUACUUGGAAAAUAUAUUAAAUGAAGCUACGAAAAAAAUCAGCCACAAUUGGAAUGAAAAAUAUCCCUUCAUACUUCACGCUUUUACCAAGCUUUCGGCACCAAUGGACCCAUUUACAUGGACACCAAACUAUUUAGUAUACAAAAUGUUUCAUUUAAGCUUAUUUGGAAUAGCUGUUAUAUAAAAUUUUUUCUCA